CCCUUAGAUGUUCUGGGCAGCACGCGCGCUACACUGAUGCAUUCAACGAGUUUCUUCCUGGUCCGAGAGGAAUGGGUAACCUUUUGAAGGUGCAUCGUGAUAGGGAUAGACUAUUGCAAUUAUUGGUCUUCAACGAGGAAUUCCUAGUAGACGUAGUUCAUCAGACUGCAUCGAUUACGUCCCUGCCCUUUGUACACACCGCCCGUCGCUCCUACCGAUUGAAUGCUCAGGUGAGCCAUUCGGACUUUCAUCAUGCUGGUUUCCAGUUUUGAUGAAGGAAAGUCUUGCGAACCUUAUCAUUUAGAGGAAGGAGAAGUCGUAACA
rnacentral:rRNA from 1 species